UACGGGGGGGGCAAGCGUUGUUCGGAAUUACUGGGCGUAAAGGGCUCGUAGGCGGCCAACUAAGUCAGACGUGAAAUCCCUCGGCUUAACCGGGGAACUGCGUCUGAUACUGGAUGGCUUGAGAUUGGGAGAGGGAUGCGGAAUUCCAGGUGUAGCGGUGAAAUGCGUAGAUAUCGGAAGGAACAUCAGUGGCGAAAGCGACUUCCUGGACCAGUACCGACGUUCAGGCACGAAAGCGUGGGGAGCAAACAGG
rnacentral:rRNA from 1 species